rnacentral:rRNA from 1 species
GGGCUUGACAUCCCACGAACCUCAUCGAAAGAUGAGAGUGCCCGCAAGGGAGCGCGGAGACAGGUGGUGCAUGGCUGUCGUCAGCUCGUGUCGUGAGAUGUUGGGUUAAGUCCCGCAACGAGCGCAACCCUCACCCCUUGUUGCCACCGGGUUAUGCUGAGCACUCUAGGGGAACUGCCAGCGUCAAGCUGGAGGAAGGCGGGGAUGACGUCAAGUCAUCAUGCCCCUUACGCCCUGGGCGACACACGUGCUACAAUGGCCGGCACAAAGGGAUGCAAGACCGCGAGGUGGAGCUAACCCCAAAAAACCGGUCUAAGUUCAGAUUGCAGUCCGCAACUCGACUGCAUGAAGGAGGAAUCGCUAGUAAUCGCGCAUCAGCACGGCGCGGUGAAUACGUUCCCGGGCCUUGUACACACCGCCCGUCACACCACGAAAGCCGGCUGUACUCGAAGUCGCUGAG